UCCAGCAAUCUGAUUUAAGGACAGCACUGUGGAAAGCACUGUAUGAACACAUGGCACAAGAUAGACCUUGUCCAAAAAGAGCUUAUGAUCCAAAUAAAAAUAGCUAUAAAGAAGAGAAUUGACUCGCCAUAGGCCAGGCACCAGGGAUGGAUAGAAUUCAGCCAUCAGCACUGAAUAACUGCUGUGCAGAAGGACAGAGCCAAAUUAUGGACUGCAAUCUGAUGCCGUUCCAAUGAUUAGCACCUGAUCCUCACGUAGUCCUAUUAAAACUUCCUAAUGUAGUAAGCAUGAUCUUAUAUGUUUCAGAAAGUUUCUCCAGUCCUCCAAUGUCUCCCUCAAUUUCUCCCCAG